rnacentral:snRNA from 1 species
GUGCUCACUUCGGCAGCACAUGUACUAAA